rnacentral:tRNA from 1 species
GGGGCUAUGGCGCAGCUGGUAGCGCGCUUGCAUGGCAUGCAAGAGGUCACGAGUUCGAUCCUCGUUAGCUCCACCA